rnacentral:rRNA from 1 species
GACGAACGCUGGCGGCGUGCUUAACACAUGCAAGUCGAACGGAAAGGCCCUGCUUUUGUGGGGUGCUCGUGUGGCGAACGGGUGAGUAACACGUGAGUAUCCCGCCCUUGUCUUUGGGAUAACUUCAGGAAACUGGGGCUAAUACCGGAUAGGAGCUCCUGCUGCAUGGUGGGGGUUGGAAAGUUUCGGCGGUUGGGGAUGGACUCGCGGCUUAUCAGCUUGUUGGUGAGGUAGUGGCUGACCAAGGCUUUGACGGGUAGCCCGCCUGAGAGGGUGACCGGGCACAUUGGGACUGAGAGACGGCCCAGACUCCUACGGGAGGCAGCAGUGGAGAGUAUUGCACAAUGGGCGGGAGCCAGAUGCAGAAACGCCGGGUGCGGGAUGACGGCCUUCGGGUUGUAAACCGCUUUCGCCUGUGACGAAGCGUGAGUGACGGUAAUGGGUAAAGAAGCACCGGCUAACUACGUG